UAAAAUUAAAACGAGGUGGAUUGAUCUGCAUGUGCCAUAGGAAAAAGUUUAAUUAAAACUAAUUUAAUCAUUUCGGAUUAUUAUAUUGGAUUAUCGAGUCGUGAAGGAUACUUGGGAAAUAUAUUGUUCGGAUCGGACAUUGGAAAGGAAGAAAAUUAUUAAAUGUAGGAGAGUUUUGAGCUGUGCGUAAAACGUC